AACAUUUAUAAACCUACAGACGAUUGGUCCGCUAAUCUAGGGUCAAGUGUUAAAUCAAAACCGAUAAGAAUACGCUGUUAUUAUGUUACUGUCGAAUGCUGAUGACAAUAACGAAGAUUCCAUUUUAGAAAAAUGGAUUAUGUGAAGAAGAUUAAAAGAUAAAACAAGAGCAAAGUUCAAUGGAG